rnacentral:rRNA from 1 species
UACGUAGGGGGCCAGCGUUGUCCGGAAUCAUUGGGCGUAAAGCGCGCGUAGGCGGCCAGAUAAGUCCGGUGUGAAAGUCACAGGCUCAACCUGUGAAUGCCGCUGGAAACUGUCUGGCUAGAGUCCGGGAGGGGCGAGUGGAAUUCCUGGUGUAGCGGUGAAAUGCGCAGAUAUCAGGAGGAACACCGAUUGCGAAGGCAGCUCGCUGGGACGUGACUGACGCUGAGACGCGAAAGCGUGGGGAGCAAACAGG